UACAGACAAAGAAAUGGAGGCUCACAGAGGUUAAGAAGUUGUAGGGCUGGGAUUUGAACGCAGGGGUUCUAAAAGCACAUGCUUUUAGCCACAGUGUUAUCCUGUUUCAACAGCUACUAGGUGCCUGCAUAAACAUGAGCAGAUAAGAUGGGAGAAUGAAGGUAUUUGAAAUAUGUGGAUUUAAAGCAUCUAGUAAUGAUUAUGAAGAUGCUGAAGGGAUAUGGCUUUGGAUUACAGCAAUAGGCAAGAUGUUAUCUGUUAAUAGACUAAAGAACAGAGAAGUGAUUUCUGUGACUAUAGAGCAAUUUAAAGGAAGAGCUGAGAUUAAACAGUCCCACAUCUGCUUCACUGCUUUGGCCUGCAUGAACUCUCUAAAAUAGAGAUCUGCUGUGCUUAAGAUCCUUCAAUGGUUUCUCCCAAGAUAUUGGGAUCUCUGAAGACAAGGACUGUGUCCCCAGAAACUCAUCGACUCUCUGGUGUCUCUGGGUCUAUGCACAUGAUGUCUCCAAGGCCAGGUAUCAUUAUUUAUCUAAAUCUCCGGAGCCAUUGAGGACCAAGAUCAUACUUGCUGAAUAAAUGCACGGAACAGGAUCAGAGGAUAGACACAGAAUGGGCCAAGAAGAGAAGUAAGCCACACCUUCCCUUCCUGUCUCAGCAUCUGUUCCAUUUCUGCUCAG
rnacentral:lncRNA from 1 species